rnacentral:rRNA from 1 species
AACGAACGCUGGCGGCAGGCUUAACACAUGCAAGCCGAGCGCCCCGAAAGGGGAGCGGCAGACGGGUGAGUAACGCGUGGGAAUCUACCCAUCCCUACGGAAUAGCUCCGGGAAACUGGAAUUAAUACCGUAUACGCCCUACGGGGGAAAGAUUUAGCGGGGAUGGAUGAGCCCGCGUUGGAUUAGCUAGUUGGUGGGGUAAAGGCCUACCAAGGCGACGAUCCAUAGCUGGUCUGAGAGGAUGAUCAGCCACAUUGGGACUGAGACACGGCCCAAACUCCUACGGGAGGCAGCAGUGGGGAAUAUUGGACAAUGGGGGCAACCCUGAUCCAGCGAUGCCGCGUGAGUGAUGAAGGCCUUAGGGUUGUAAAGCUCUGUCACCGGUGAAGAUAAUGACGGUACCCGGAGAAGAAGCCCCGGCUAACUUCGUGCCAGCCGCCGCAGUAA